GGACCAACCAAUAUCAGGCCGCCGACAUCCUACGGGUUCCGCGCGCCGCUAUGUUUAACUCGCAGCGGGCGUGGUGAGCUGUCUCCGCCCGCUGCGAGUUAAACAUAGCGGCGCGUGGAACCCGUAGGAUGUCGGCGGCCUGAUAUUGGUCGGUCCCCAAAUUUUUGCCUUUUCUCCGUGAGUGGACGAGAAAAAGGCGGGGCCUAAAUAUGAGGUCUUCUGCAG
ensembl:ncRNA K08H10.13 ncRNA